rnacentral:rRNA from 1 species
UACGGGGGGAGCAAGCGUUGUUCGGAUUUACUGGGCGUAAAGGGCGCGUAGGCGGUCAGCACAAGUCAGUUGUGAAAUCUCCGGGCUUAACUCGGAAAGGUCAACUGAUACUGUGCGACUAGAGUGCGGAAGGGGCAACUGGAAUUCCCGGUGUAGCGGUGAAAUGCGCAGAUAUCGGGAGGAACACCGGUGGCGAAGGCGGUUCUCUGGGCCUU